rnacentral:hammerhead_ribozyme from 1 species
AUCCAGAUGACGAGUGCCAAAUAGGACGAAAUGUGCAUCCUGGAU